rnacentral:rRNA from 1 species
CCUACGGGGGGCAGCAGUGAGGAAUAUUGGUCAAUGGACGGAAGUCUGAACCAGCCAUGCCGCGUGCAGGAAGACGGCUCUAUGAGUUGUAAACUGCUUUUGUACAAGGGUAAACCUGAAUACGUGUAUUCAGCUGAAAGUACUGUACGAAUAAGGAUCGGCUAACUCCGUGCCAGCAGCCGCGGUAAUACGGAGGAUUCAAGCGUUAUCCGGAUUUAUUGGGUUUAAAGGGUGCGUAGGCGGUUUGAUAAGUUAGAGGUGAAAUGUCCGAGCUUAACUCGGGCACUGCCUCUAAUACUGUUGGUCUAGAGAGUAGAUGCGGUAGGCGGAAUGUAUGGUGUAGCGGUGAAAUGCAUAGAGAUCAUACAGAACACCGAUUGCGAAGGCAGCUUACCAAUCUAUAUCUGACGUUGAGGCACGAAAGCGUGGGGAGCAAACAGGAUUAGAUACCCUAGUAGUC